rnacentral:ncRNA from 1 species
ACGCAUCUCUGGAGAGCGCUUCGGCUUGGAUAAGCGGAAGCCACCAAAGGGGAAACUUGUGUGCUGGGUGGCACGAGGUAACUCUCAGGUAAAAGGACAGAGGAGGA